GCCCUAAAACAGGUGGAAGCUUCUCAAACACACACCCCAGGAAACAGAAAAGGUUACGUUCAUGUCACCAUGACAGAAAAGGUUACGUACUUCACCACCCUAUCUCCACUCGCUUGAGCUAAUAUGGAGUUAUUAACGGGACCUGUGGGUCUUCUCCACUCUGAUAAGCUACUAGGUAGCCUACUCUAUACCUUAUAUGGUGACAAUUUAUU